AUGAACGCUAGCUACAGGCUUAACACAUGCAAGUCGAGGGGCAGCAUGGUCUUAGCUUGCUAAGACUGAUGGCGACCGGCGCACGGGUGAGUAACACGUAUCCAACCUGCCGUCUACUCUUGGACAGCCUUCUGAAAGGAAGAUUAAUACAAGAUGGCAUCAUGAGUCCGCAUGUUCACAUGAUUAAAGGUAUUCCGGUAGACGAUGGGGAUGCGUUCCAUUAGAUAGUAGGCGGGGUAACGGCCCACCUAGUCUUCGAUGGAUAGGGGUUCUGAGAGGAAGGUCCCCCACAUUGGAACUGAGACACGGUCCAAACUCCUACGGGAGGCAGCAGUGAGGAAUAUUGGUCAAUGGGCGAGAGCCUGAACCAGCCAAGUAGCGUGAAGGAUGACUGCCCUAUGGGUUGUAAACUUCUUUUAUAAAGGAAUAAAGUCGGGUAUGGAUACCCGUUUGCAUGUACUUUAUGAAUAAGGAUCGGCUAACUCCGUGCCAGCAGCCGCGGUAAUACGGAGGAUCCGAGCGUUAUCCGGAUUUAUUGGGUUUAAAGGGAGCGUAGAUGGAUGUUCAAGUCAGUUGUGAAAGUUUGCGGCUCAACCGUAAAAUUGCAGUUGAGACUGCAUAUCUUGAGUGCAGUUGAGGCAGGCGGAAUUCGUUGUGUAGCGGUGAAAUGCUUAGAUAUCACGAAGAACUCCGAUUGCGAAGGCAGCCUGCUAAGCUGCAACUGACAUUGAGGCUCGAAAGUGUGGGUAUCAAACAGGAUUAGAUACCCUGGUAGUCCACACGGUAAACGAUGAAUACUCGCUGUUUGCGAUAUACUGCAAGCGGCCAAGCGAAAGCGUUAAGUAUUCCACCUGGGGAGUACGCCGGCAACGGUGAAACUCAAAGGAAUUGACGGGGGCCCGCACAAGCGGAGGAACAUGUGGUUUAAUUCGAUGAUACGCGAGGAACCUUACCAGGGCUUAAAUUGCAGAUGAAUUACGGUGAAAGCCGUAAGCCGCAAGGCAUCUGUGAAGGUGCUGCAUGGUUGUCGUCAGCUCGUGCCGUGAGGUGUCGGCUUAAGUGCCAUAACGAGCGCAACCCUUGUUGUCAGUUACUAACAGGUUCCGCUGAGGACUCUGACAAGACUGCCAUCGUAAGAUGUGAGGAAGGUGGGGAUGACGUCAAAUCAGCACGGCCCUUACGUCCGGGGCUACACACGUGUUACAAUGGGGGGUACAGAAGGCCGCUACCACGCGAGUGGAUGCCAAUCCCCAAAACCUCUCUCAGUUCGGACUGGAGUCUGCAACCCGACUCCACGAAGCUGGAUUCGCUAGUAAUCGCGCAUCAGCCACGGCGCGGUGAAUACGUUCCCGGGCCUUGUACACACCGCCCGUCAAGCCAUGGGAGCCGGGGGUACCUGAAGUGCGUAACCGCGAGGAGCGCCCUAGGGUAAAACUGGUGACUGGGGCU
rnacentral:rRNA from 1 species